rnacentral:rRNA from 1 species
UGGGGAAUCUUGCGCAAUGGGCGAAAGCCUGACGCAGCCAUGCCGCGUGAGUGAUGAAGGCCUUAGGGUUGUAAAACUCUUUCACCGGGGACGAUAAUGACGGUACCCGGAGAAGAAGCCCCGGCUAACUUCGUGCCAGCAGCCGCGGUAAUACGAAGGGGGCUAGCGUUGCUCGGAAUUACUGGGCGUAAAGGGCGCGUAGGCGGAUCAGCAAGUUGGGGUGAAAGCCCGGGGCUCAACUCGGAAUUGCCUUCAAAACUGCUGAUCUAGAGUACGGGAGAGGUGUGUGGAACUCCGAGUGUAGAGGUGAAAUUCGUAGAUAUUCGGAAGAACACCAGUGGCGAAGGCGACACACUGGCCCGUUACUGACGCUGAGGCGCGAAAGCGUGGGGAGCAAACAGGUUAGAUACCCUGGGUAGUCCACGCUGUAAACGNUGAUUGCUAGUUGUCGGCAGGCAUGCCUGUCGGUGACGCAGCUAACGCAUU